GGGGAAGGGCUCAGUGGCACAGCAUCGGCUUUCCAUGCAGAAGAACCCAAGUUCAAUCCCUGGUUUCUCCU